UUUUAAGAGUCUCCAGCUCACACUUCUUCAAGACCCAGGCUGGCUCCAUCUCUUCAUUUCUGAUUUUAUUUUAUGUUUGUUUAGAUCCAUCAAGCUGACUUAUUUGAUGGUAAAGAAGAGAUAAUGUGAAUACUUGAUUUUCUGCCUUCGUGAAUUUAGAAGUGAGAAGAGACAUUAAAAGUUUCAUUUUCAUCUAUGAAAGAGCUGCUUGGAGUUGGAGGGUAGCAAGGCAAUAAUUUACAGAAUUAUUUUUCAAUAUAAAAUUAAUUUAUGACUUCAAAAGAGCGUGUUUGGUUUUAUGUUUUACUAAAGGUUCUUAUCCAGGAUAUUAAAAGCCCUCCAACUUUUUCUGAGAGGAUUUUUUACAGAUCUUUCAUUCUUCAUGUUUCCAUAUUCUGGCCUUUGACUAUAGGUUUCAUUUUAGUUAAAA